UACGAAGGGGGCUAGCGUUGCUCGGAAUGACUGGGCGUAAAGGGCGCGUAGGCGGCUUGGUUUGUCAGGCGUGAAAGUCCUGGGCUCAACCCGGGGACGGCGCUUGGGACGGCUGGGCUGGAGUGGGGAAGAGGGUCGUGGAAUUCCCAGUGUAGAGGUGAAAUUCGUAGAUAUUGGGAAGAACACCGGUGGCGAAGGCGGCGACCUGGUCCUUGACUGACGCUGAGGCGCGAGAGCGUGGGGAGCAAACAGG
rnacentral:rRNA from 1 species